CAAGCCACCGUCCCACAAUGCGCCAACAACCAAUAAAAAAGAAGAAGAGGAUAACAAAGGAAAACAAUAGAAAGCAACACUGCAAAAAACAAAAGACAUCAAGGACAACAAAACUCUAAACAGCAAGAACAACUGGAUGCGUCUGAGUGCAUGUGUGGCACUAUUUACGUGUGUCUAUCAAAUCAAAUGUUAUUUGUCAUAUGCGCCGAAUACAACAGGUACCUAACAGUGAAAUGCUUAUUUACAAGCCCUUAAAAGAACAAUGCAGUUUUAAGAAAAGAGAUGAGAAUAACAAAUAAUUAAAGAGCAGCAAUGAAUAACAAUAGUGGGGGGUUUAUACAGGGGUACCGGUACAGAGUCAAUGUGGAGGCUAUAUACAGGGUAUUACGGUACAGAGUCAAUGUGGAGGCUAUAUACAGGGGGUACCGGUACAGAGUCAAUGUGGAGACUAUAUACAGGGGGUAUUACGGUACAGAGUCAAUGUGGAGGCUAUAUACAGGGGGUACCGGUACAGAGUCAAUGUGGAGGCUAUAUACAGGGUAUUACGGUACAGAGUCAAUGUGGAGGCUAUAUACAGGGUAUUACGGUACAGAGUCAAUGUGGAGGCUACAUACAGGGUAUUACGGUACAGAGUCAAUGUGGAGGCUAUAUACAGGGGGUACCGGUACAGAGUCAAUGUGGAGGCUAUAUACAGGGGGUACCGGUACAGAGUCAAUGUGGAGACUAUAUACAGGGGGUACCGGUACAGAGUCAAUGUGGAGGCUAUAUACAGGGGAUUCCGGAACAGAGUCAAUGUGGAGGCUAUAUACAGGAGGUGCCGGUACUGAGUCAAUGUGGAGACUAUAUACAGGGGGUACCGGUACAGAGUCAAUGUGGAGGCUAUAUACAGGAGGUGCCGGUACUGAGUCAAUGUGGAGACUAUAUACAGGGGGUACUGGUACAGUGUCAAUGUGGAGGCUAUAUACAGGGUAUUACGGUACAGAGUCAAUGUGGAGACUAUAUACAGGGGGUACCAGUACAGAGUCAAUGUGGAGACUAUAUACAGGGGUACCGGUACAGGGUCAAUGUGGAGACUAUAUACAGGGGUACCGGUACAGGGUCAAUGUGGCACCGGUGUUGAG
ensembl:lncRNA